GGGAAUGAAAUUUAAAAAUACGAUAUUCAAUUUCGUUAUUCAGUUGAGCUACUUAUACUGUUCGAUAAUUCGGUAUUACCGAAUACCGAAAUAAUUACUACGCAAAUAGAAUUCAGCCCAUUAAUAUUUACAGUUAUAUUCAUCAGUUCAGCCCAAUAGCCCAUCAACAGUUCAAUACCAACGACCAUAAUCACCGCCUCUCUCACACCAUAGUCACACCUCUCAGGCUGUCGAAGCUUUGUGACUGUUUGCCGACCAUAAAAUCACUCGUCGCAUAAUCCAGCUCCGGAGAUUGUCCUUCUGGUUGGAUAAGCAAUAACAUCAUCUUCCAGAGUGUAUUGCUGCAAAAGUUGAAGAACCCAGAAACCAUUUUUGGGUGUGUUAUCUAAGCACCAUACUGCCAUAACCAUCUAUUACCCACUAAUCUUUAUUUUUCCAUCUGCACAAACGCAAUUCAAAAAGAAGCCAAAAAAUCCCAUUUUUGUUCAGUAAAAAGAGGAAACCCUCUGCUUUUGUCCUUAAGUUUCCUUGUGGUUCAGUAAAAGUUCAAUCUUCAAUUGGAAGAAGAAAAUAUUUAUAUUGAUAGCAAUGCCUAUUUUCAUACAAACAACAAGGGCUAUUAUGAGUAAAAGAUUCAUGUAGUGGCAAAUUAAAUAAUAACUGAAAAGAGUGAAAGCUGUGUUUAAACAAUGUAAAAUAGAAUUUGUGCCUUCACAAAACUGGGGCAUAUUUGGUGGACUAUUAUAAUUUUUAUGUACAGGUUUUAAGGCUUUGGAUGGAGGGAGGUAUUUUCUUAUUUAUGUUUUCAUGUAGUACUGUAUGAUGUCUUGGAAAUGAAAGGAUUUGAUUAUCAUCUGUUCCUUAUGGAUUUAAUUUCUUGGAGUUUUUUACCUUGUUAAAAUUUGAUAUGCUUGGAAUUGUCUUAGAUGUUGAAGUGUUCGGUUUUUUUACUCAACAGUGAAGCAAUGUUGAGCAACUUAUGCAUUUUUAA